rnacentral:lncRNA from 1 species
UCCAGACGUGAAAACGCGAGCGACCUUGUGCAGUCGCUCUGGAUGAGUCGCUCCGGGAUGUGGUGCACAGCGACCUCAUGCCGUCGCUCCGAGAGGUCGCUCUGGCAGUGCUCGUCCAAAGAUCACUCUAAUCACCUCCUUUUGAGCUCCAAAUGCACCCAAAUGUCUCCAGAAACUCCAUGUGGUACUCAAAUACCUGAUAGAGACAUAUGCAUGCAAAAUGCAACCUAGACAUGGCUAAGUCCUAAUCUAUAUGAUGAAAAUGCACAUGAAUAAUGGAUAAAACAAUGCAAAUAUGCAAGAUAUCAACUCCCCCAAACUUGUUCUUUUACUUGUCCACAAGUGAACUUUCUAGAACUCAUAGGGAGAGAGGUUGAAGGAGGGAGCACAUAGCCAAAAGAAACACAACUAGCACACUCUCUUAUUACACUCUAGCUUCUCUAGGCCUAUCUUAACUCUUUUUGUUCUUACACUUAUCAUCAAGCAUCCACACAUUCAAAUCAACCAACUCUCACAUUCAUUAAGCACAAAACAUCAGGUGAAUUCUUGCAAAUGGUCAGUUGGUCCAAGUCAUUUGGUUGGGUAAGGGAAGGCUUUUAUUCAAGUGAUUCAAGAGGUUCAAAACAUAUGAUCUUUAAGGUGGUUUACUCUCAAAACAAGUAGCCUUGACAUUGCACAUAAUAUAUCUAAGAAAGGGACCAACUCAUGCAUACAAUGCUCAAUCUCCAUUGUUCUACCAUUUUCUCAAACAUACAAAUCACACAAUCAUUUCCCAAUGUCAAACCCAACUCACAUCUCUCACCAAAAGAUCCUAAGAACUUUAACUCCUUCUCUUUGAAAUCUACAAGGGAUUUUUUUCACAACCUCAAAACAUUUCUUAGCUCCUAACAACUUUGCUAGCCCCCUUUUCUUUCUUUUUCUCUUUUUUUUUUUUUCUUUUUUUUUUUUUUUUUUUUUUUUUUUUUUUUUUUUUUUUUUUAAGGCUGGGGGCCAAGACUUUUCAAAACUUGAGCUAGAGGCUUCUAUACUGGUCCCAAUAAAACAAUUCACUUAAGCACAAAGAGUCUAUUCUUUUCCUUUUUCAUUUCUCCCAAAUCAUAAUCACAACACUCACCCCCACCUAUAGCUAGACAAUAGUGUGUCCAAUCUAGCAAGAAUGAAGAUCAAGCAUUGUCGUUCCCGAUACUCUCAACAUUAUGCACAUGUAAGACUUUCCGAAAAAGGCCUCAAUCAUCAAACAAUGAAAGCUUAAAAGGAGGAAAAGGUUUUGGGAGUGGUCUACCACUAGAGUUUGUCAAAAAAGAUUGGUAUAAAAGAUGUGACAACUCAAGUGUGUAUAGCCAUGACUCAGUACACAAGGGACCAUGAGCAAGAAGCAUUAAGUUCGUUCAGUUCAAAUAAGGUUGUAGUUGGCUUCAAAGACUGAGUUUCAGCAAUCAACAAGUUUCAGGAAGAGUUUUCAAAGCUCGAAACAUACAAGUCUUUUUGAGAGGUGCAAAAGCUAGUCAAGUGCAACGUAGUGUUCUUUUCAAGGCAUUCAAAAUCAUUGCUCCCAAUGCAAGUGAAUGCAACCUAUAUGCUCUAGACUCUCCUGAAAAUGCAAAUGAUGCAAACUAAAUGAUUGAUUUUUUUUUUUUAUCUAUGCAAAUAGGUAUGCCAUGCAUGACUCAAUGAAACAACAUCAAAGCAAACAUGAUCAAAUACUUGGUACCUCCCCCAAACUUGAGUUACACAGUCUCUGUGUCGUCAAGUAGAGAGAGAUACCGAAAAGAAGACUAAUAUGCAAAAAUGAAAUGGUAUAUACAAGGGAGUGUGGUGGGUUACCUUCUAUAGGGAAUGAGUAGAGGGAGAUGCUCCCUCCUCGUCGUCCUCAGGUGGUAACUCUUCAAGAUGCUCAUCAGCAGGAGUGACCAUCUCUUCAAUGUAGAAGGCUUGCCCGAACACAGUUGGUUUCCUCAUUUUCUCCUUGAUGUCAAAGUGGAGGAUGUUCUCUUUACCCAAAUGGAGAUCAAUCGUGCCUUCCUUCACAUUAACAAUAGCUCCUGCUGUAGCUAAGAAUGGCCUUCCUAGAAUCAAUGGGUCUUGAGCCUCCUCACCCAUCUCAAGCACCACAAAAUCUGUAGGUAUCUCAUACCUUCCAAUCUUCACAGGGAGGUCCUCUAAGAUGCCCACAGGGUACUUCACUGAACGAUCAGCUAACACCAGAGAGAGUCUACACUUCUUGUACUGAGUGAAUCCAAGCUUCUUUGCAACAGACAAAGGCAUCAAGCUGACACUAGCUCCCAAAUCGCAGAGACUUUUCUCAAAUACCAUAGGUCCAAGAGCACAAGGUAGUGUGAAGCUUCCUGGAUCCUCUAAUUUCUCUGGAACAUCAAGCCUCUGGAUGAUGGUAUUGCACUCAUGGGUAAGAAUCAUCAUGCCUUCCAUCUCCUUCUUCUUUGCAGCUACAACAUCUUUCAGGAAAUUGUUGUAUUGAGGAAUCAACAUGAAAGCAUCGAUGAUGGGCAUUGCAACCUGAGCUUCACUCAUUUGCUUCUCAAACAGAGCUUUGUACUUCUCUAGCAGCUGCUUCUUGAAUCUACCAGGGAAUGGAAGUUUGGGUUCAUAGGGAGGAGGAACAAAAGAACUUUCACUUGCUGGAGUAACAACUUCACCAUCCUUUACUGUCUUCUUCUCUUCCCCAACCUUUCCUUUACCUUUGGCUUCCACUAUCUUCUCCAAGAUCUCGUCAUUGAUCUUCUCAUCAACAAUCACCACUUCAUCAUCUAUGUUGAUGGCAACCCCCUCACCUAAUUUCUCAGCAUCCUUGGUGAGGGUUCUAGGAGGUAACUGCUUACCACUCCUAAGGGUGAUAGCUUUAGCCUCCUUGGGAUUUUGGUCAGACUUUCCAGGUAGAGAUCCUUGCUGGCGAUUCUGGUGAGUGUUCAUGGAAGCAAAUUGAUUCUCUAAAUUCCUGACUGUAGAAGCAAGGUGUGAGAAUUUGUUGUUGAGCUCAUUGUAGCUCCCAUCAAUCUUGGAAUGAAGGUUCUUCAACUCAUAACCAACUUGCUUCUCACUUCUAGUCUGAGACUCCAAGAUUUGUUUCAGUAAGGUAUCAGUGCUGCUCUCUUGAGGAGCAGAGGAACCAGACGAGGGGUUUUGCUGAGGCUGAUAGCUGCCUUGCUGGUUAUUUCGAGGCGGAUAACCACUAUGUUGGUUGUUGGGAUAGGAUUUCUGUUGGUAGUUGUUGUACUGAAAGUUGGGCUCCUUUUUGUACCAGCUACCAUUGUUGUUAAUGAAACACAACUCCUCUUGACCUUCCAAACCCUCAACCUCAUUGACAGCAAGUGGAUCUUCCUGCUUGGAGUUACCAACAAACUUCAGCUGCUCUUGGGUGGCUUUUUCAGCAAUGAGUAGAUCGAUCUUGUCUUCCAAAGCUUUGAUCUCUUUCCUCGUCUGCUUAUCAUCUGUUCUACUGCCUCUGUCGUGGUCUCCACUGUAGACUGCAUCACUCUUUACCAUGUUGUCAACCAACUCUUCUGCAUCCUCCUCAGUUCUCCCCAAGAAGAACCCAUUACUAGCUGUAUCCAGUCUGGCUCUGUACUUAGGGAGAGCACCACGGUAGAAUGUGCUCAGCAAGCUCUCCUUAGAAAAGCCAUGGUGUGGGCAUUGAGCUUGGUAGCCCUUGAAUCUUUCCCAGGCUUCACUGAAACCUUCCAAGCCCUUCUGUUGAAAGCUGGAGAUCUCGUUUCUCAGCUUAGCAGUUCUUGAAGUAGAGAAGAACUUCUCCAAGAAUGCUUUCUUGCAGUCAUCCCAAGUGGUGAUGGAGUCGCUGGGUAGAGACUUCUCCCACUGACGUGCCUUAUCCCCCAAAGAGAAAGGGAAUAGCUUGAGCUUUAAGGCAUCUUCGGACACACCAUUGGUUUUUGACAACCCACAGUAGCUGUCGAACCUGUCCAAGUGAUCAAAUGGAUCCUCUAGAGCCAAGCCAUGAUACUUGUUGUUCUCGAUCACGUUGAGGAGUCCUGAUUUGAUCUCAAAGUUGUUGGCUGCCACAGCGGGUGCUCGGAUUCCCAAUCUAUGACCAUGAAUGUUGGGGCGGUCGUAAGUGCCAAUGGGUCGAGCUGCUCGCUGUUGGUUUUGAGGUAUGUCUCCCAUAUCAGUACUCAAUCUCUGCAAGUGAGUCUGUUGCUCUUCUUCUCUUCUAUUUCUAGCACACUCUCUCUCUAAAGCUCUGAUGUCUGCAGCUAUUGGAACUAGGUUUGAUGGACCCCUGCUCCUCAAGUUCAUACACCUGUAGAUUAAAGGGAGGUGAAGAAAGAGAAUCAGUAACAAAAGAAAAUAAAAACGACUUAGUCUCAAGCAAGUGACUAAAUCUCAAUGUUCAAAUCUACUCAGAAUUUGGCAACGGCGCCAAUUUGAUGUUAAGAGUUUUCAAGGCUCCUAAGACAAAUGUUGUAGUAUAAAUGAUUGUCGAACCAGUUCUGAGGGAUAUCAAAGCACCGAGAAUGCAAGUACUCACUUAAUCUAAGUGCAACCAAUGAUUUAAAUGGGUUUUAAACUACUACUAAACUAGAAAGCAAUAACAUAAUGAUACUUUCUUGACUAAGGGAAAAAGAACUCAUGGGUAUAGGGAUUAGACCUUGGGUGAUCAAGUAUCGAACUAAGGAUGGCAAACGAUCAAUCAAACUAUCAACCUUAAGCCUAGACACAAUUCUAAGCAAGCUCUAUGUCUAGAUGAAUGCUCAUUUGCUAACAUAUCUCAAACAUCAAAUGUCUUUGGUUGAAUAAUAUAAAGCAAUCAUUACUAACAAGUCUAUUAGCUAUCUUAGCAUCUUUAACAACAAAUGUCUUUGGCAAAGUAUACUAAAAGCCUAGGAGAGUUGUCUCGGGCAUUUCAUCGAACACCUUUCGGGUGAGAAAUGCCUAAGGAUCAACAACUGAGUGGCCAACUCAGAAGAUGCAUUAUGAUUACUCUACUAGCAAAGAAAUAUGAAUGAUCUACACUAAAACAUCCUAGCUCUAACCUAAUCACCCUUAAUCUCCCUAACCCAUGAAUUCCAAAGGUGAUUACUCACUAAUCUCCAUGAUUCCUCUUAAACCCAUAUUGGAUUUCAGAUUAAUCAUGUAGAGAAAUACAGGAAAUAAAAGGAACACAGAAUUUCAAUAACAAAAUUGAUCAAUUGAUUCAAAGAGAUCACUUUCCAAAGGUUUUUGGUGGUUUUCUAAGAACAAAAGAUGAUCUGCCUCCUGGUGGCUUACAGAGUAAUAAAACAUAGGUUUAGAAAAUAAAAACGUGCAUAAUGAAAUGACCAAAAUGCCCUUGAGAAAUCACAAGUUCGAGCAGAAACAAAACACGGAGCGACCUCAGCCCGUCGCUCCGACAAGUCGCUCCAGGCUUCGGGAGCGACCUCGCUGUGUCGCUGCGAGAGGUCGCUCCGGGCUCGUUCUCGCGUCUCCGGGUGAUGAAAACGCGAGCGACUUCUCCCUGUCGCUCUGGUAUGGUCGCUCUGAGCUUCGGGAGCGACUUCAGCACGUCGCUCUGGAAGGUCGCUCCGAGGUGUAAAUGUGUGUCUCCAGACGUGAAAACGCGAGCGACCUUGUGCAGUCGCUCUGGAUGAGUCGCUCCGGGAUGUGGUGCACAGCGACCUCAUGCCGUCGCUCCGAGAGGUCGCUCCGGCAGUGCUCGUCCAAAGAUCACUCUAAUCACCUCUUUUUGAGCUCCAAAUGCACCCAAAUGUCUCCAAAAACUCCAUGUGGUACUCAAAUACCUGAUAGAGACAUAUGCAUGCAAAAUGCAACCUAGACAUGGCUAAGUCCUAAUCUAUAUGAUGAAAAU